rnacentral:lncRNA from 1 species
UCGCUUCAUUCUACCAGAAGAAGAAGAAGAAAGGGAGCAAGACAAAGAGGAACCAUAGCGACAUUUCGCUUUACUUCGAGACUUCCUCUUCUCCGCCACCUCCGCCGCCGCCGCCGCCACCUCCGUCUUCUUCUGUCUUUCACAGUCUAUUCUCUCACAAGAAAAGCAAGAACCGAAGGAUCCACUCCCUCUCGGCAUCUCCUCCGCCUCCUCCUCCUCCGCCACCACCACCCCUUUCUUCAACCCGACGUUCCAAGAAACAAACCUCUUCGCCUCCCUCGCCACCACCUCCUCCACCAACCCGACGAUCCGAAAGGCAAGUGUUAUUGCCUCCCCCACCGCCUCCUCCUGCUCCACGGGG